GCCUCCUUGGCUCAGUUGGCUAGAGCGCAGGUCUCAUACACGUGUAUGAUCAAGCACAUGCUUGAGCAAUCCUGAGGUCGCAAGUUCGAGCCUUGCAGGGGGCA
rfam:Cylindrobasidium torrendii FP15055 ss-10 unplaced genomic scaffold CYLTOscaffold_105, whole genome shotgun sequence.